rnacentral:misc_RNA from 1 species
CUCCAUUUCACAAUGUAAGUCAUUCUAGCAUUUUCCACAUUCAUAUUGAUGUUAAUGAAUCUAGACAUAUAUAUCUAUCUAGAUUCAUUAACAUCAAUAUGAAUGUGGGAAAUGCUAGAAUGACUUAUAUUGUGAAACGG